CAGUCGCCACGGUAAUACGGAGGGUGCAAGCGUUAAUCGGAAUUACUGGGCGUAAAGCGCACGCAGGCGGUCUGACAAGUCAGAUGUGAAAUCCCCGGGCUUAACCUGGGAACUGCAUUUGAAACUGUCAGGCUGGAGUCUUGUAGAGGGGGGUGGAAUUCCAGGUGUAGCGGUGAAAUGCGUAGAGAUCUGGAGGAAUACCGGUGGCGAAGGCGGCCCCCUGGACAAAGACUGACGCUCAGGUGCGAAAGCGUGGGGAGCAAACAGGAUUAGAUACCCGCGUAGUCCCUGUCUCUUAUAA
rnacentral:rRNA from 1 species